GUUUGAUCCUGGCUCAGGACGAACGCUGGCGGCGUGCUUAACACAUGCAAGUCGAACGGAAAGGCCUCUUCGGAGGUACUCGAGUGGCGAACGGGUGAGUAACACGUGGGUAAUCUGCCCUGCACUUCGGGAUAAGCCUGGGAAACUGGGUCUAAUACCGGAUAUGACCUUUUGGCGCAUGCCUUUUGGUGGAAAGCUUUUGCGGUGUGGGAUGGGCCCGCGGCCUAUCAGCUUGUUGGUGGGGUGAUGGCCUACCAAGGCGACGACGGGUAGCCGGCCUGAGAGGGUGUCCGGCCACACUGGGACUGAGAUACGGCCCAGACUGCUACGGGAGGCAGCAGUGGGGAAUAUUGCACAAUGGGCGCAAGCCUGAUGCAGCGACGCCGCGUGGGGGAUGACGGCCUUCGGGUUGUAAACCUCUUUCAGCAGGGACGAAGCGCAAGUGACGGUACCUGCAGAAGAAGCACCGGCCAACUACGUGCCAGCAGCCGCGGU
rnacentral:rRNA from 1 species